CGGGGGGGGCAAGCGUUGUUCGGAAUUACUGGGCGUAAAGGGCUCGUAGGUGGCCAACUAAGUCAGACGUGAAAUCCCUCGGCUUAACCGGGGAACUGCGUCUGAUACUGGAUGGCUUGAGUUCGGGAGAGGGAUGCGGAAUUCCAGGUGUAGCGGUGAAAUGCGUAGAUAUCUGGAGGAACACCGGUGGCGAAGGCGGCAUCCUGGACCGACACUGACACUGAGGAGCGAAAGCCAGGGGAGCAAACGGGAUUAGAUACCCCGGUAGUCCUGGCCCUAAACGAUGAAUGCUUGGUGUGGCGGGUAUCGAUCCCUGCCGUGCCGAAGCUAACGCAUUAAGCAUUCCGCCUGGGGAGUACGGUCGCAAGGCUG
rnacentral:rRNA from 1 species